UCUUUCUUUCUCCUUCUUUCUCCUUCAUUUCGGUUUCUUGUUUUGAUUGUUAAAACUGUUUUGGUUCAUCAUCGGUACGGCUCGGUACCCUCCGAACCAAAUAAUUCGGGAUGGUUCCGCCGACCGUAUGUAAAAAUGUUAUGAUGAGUAUUUUUUUCAUGGCUAACUCUUUUUUUUAUCUUAAAAUCAAAGUCUCAAGUAUCUUGGCAUGAAUACAUAUCUCAUGUACACAUAUGUAGUGUAUUGGCUUAUUAAAAUUGAAAGUUCAAAUAAGUCAGUUCAAGCAUAAAGAUGCAAACGCAGAGGCAAAAUUGGCUUCUUGUGUUUUAGCUUUUUGCCAAACUACCUAGGCUUCCUGCUUCUCUAGAGAUGGUUGAAGACAUCCUUAUCUCGAAUGUAUCACAUAUUAGUACUUUAGUAACUUCGGAUAAGUUCGUCACAGGAAAAUGAUGGAGAAAGUAGGACUAUCCAAUUAUUUGGUGAAGGCAAUUUAAUUAAAAACUUUUUCACCUCUGAUGCAUAGAAGUGCUCUUUCCCGAUAUACUUCUCUUUAUACAUAUAGGGCUCGUUUGGUUCGCGGGAAGUAUUUUCCCUCCUAGGAAUAUGAUUCCUGGGAAUCAUAUUCCUAGGAAGAGGAUACCUAGGAAAGUACUUUUGGCAUGUUUGGUUAACCAUGGGAAAGUGACAAAUUUCCAAAGUGCUUAUGUUUGGUUGACCAUCCACUUUCCUAGGAAAGUUAUGUAUAAUUCCUAUUAUGCCCUUAAUAAAAAUUAGGUCUUUAAUGCCUCUUUAAUGCUUAUUUAAU
rnacentral:lncRNA from 1 species